GGGUCCCUCUUUUAUAGGCGGGGAGUGCGAUAGACUGAUAGCGACUGUUUGUAACUGCCUAGUCGUGGGCCGCACGGGGCCAAGAGGAAUUUAUCAUGAAGAGUAAUGGGGUGGAGUCGUGGCGGUCACCAUGGCUCGCCAUGUGGAGUCAGUUGCGGAGAAUAGAGCGGCGUCCGUUGUCGCGACUCAUCAGAGAGUGGUGGAGCUGUGCAGAAUCAGUCGCAGGAGGUGGAGCAAAAUCGUGGCCAUUAUUGCGGUCAACCAGGGAGUGAUGGAGCCGCAUGGAAUCUAUUACAGGAGGUGGAGCAGAGUCGUGGUCGUUACUGUGGCCUGUCAGAGAGUCC
rnacentral:lncRNA from 1 species